UCCAGCACCUAUGUCAUCCUGCAAGAAUUGGCAACUAAAGCUCAGCAGGUGUGAGCCUGGUCAGUACCUGGAUGGGAGAUCUCCUGGGAAAAACUAAUGUUGCUGCUGGAA
rnacentral:rRNA from 1 species